GAUGAACGCUGGCGGCAUGCCUAAUACAUGCAAGUCGAACGAAAAGAUGAUGAGCUUGUGCUUCUGACGUUAGCGGCUGGCGGGUGGGUGACACGUGGAUAACCUACCUAUUAUUCGUGGAUAACUUCGUAAAACAGGAUCUAAUAACGUAUAAUAUAUUGAACCGCAUGGUUCAAUGGUUAAUGACGGUUUUCGUGGUUGUAUUAGAUGGUUCCGCGCUGCAUUAGCUAGUUGGUAAGGUAACGGCUUACCAAGGCAACGAUGCGUAGCCGAUCUGAGAGGGUGAUCGGCCACACUGGAACUGAGACACGGUCCAGACUCCUACGGGAGGCAGCAGUAGGGAAUCUUCGGCAAUGGGCGCAAGCCUGACGCAGCAAUGCCGCGUGAGUGAAGAAGGCCUUCGGAUCGUAAAGCCCUGUUAUUGGGGAAGAAAAACUGCAGAAGUAAACAUGGACGUUUUGACGGUACCCAAUCAGAAAGCACCGGCUAACUACGUG
rnacentral:rRNA from 1 species